rnacentral:rRNA from 1 species
AGAGUUUGAUCCUGGCUCAGAGCGAACGCUGGCGGCAGGCUUAACACAUGCAAGUCGAGCGGGCGUAGCAAUACGUCAGCGGCAGACGGGUGAGUAACGCGUGGGAACGUACCUCUUGGUUCGGAACAACACAGGGAAACUUGUGCUAAUACCGGAUAAGCCCUUACGGGGAAAGAUUUAUCGCCGAAAGAUCGGCCCGCGUCUGAUUAGCUAGUUGGUGAGGUAAUGGCUCACCAAGGCGACGAUCAGUAGCUGGUCUGAGAGGAUGAUCAGCCACAUUGGGACUGAGACACGGCCCAAACUCCUACGGGAGGCAGCAGUGGGGAAUAUUGGACAAUGGGGGCAACCCUGAUCCAGCCAUGCCGCGUGAGUGAUGAAGGCCCUAGGGUUGUAAAGCUCUUUUGUGCGGGAAGAUAAUGACGGUACCGCAAGAAUAAGCCCCGGCUAACUUCGUGCCAGCAGCCGCGGUAAUACGAAGGGGGCUAGCGUUGCUCGGAAUCACUGGGCGUAAAGGGUGCGUAGGCGGGUCUUUAAGUCAGGGGUGAAAUCCUGGAGCUCAACUCCAGAACUGCCUUUGAUACUGAGGAUCUUGAGUUCGGGAGAGGUGAGUGGAACUGCGAGUGUAGAGGUGAAAUUCGUAGAUAUUCGCAAGAACACCAGUGGCGAAGGCGGCUCACUGGCCCGAUACUGACGCUGAGGCACGAAAGCGUGGGGAGCAAACAGGAUUAGAUACCCCUGUAGUCC